rnacentral:rRNA from 1 species
UACGUAGGUGGCAAGCGUUGUCCGGAAUUACUGGGCGUAAAGCGUGCGCAGGCGGUUGUGCAAGACCGACGUGAAAUCCCCGGGCUUAACCUGGGAAUGGCAUUGGUGACUGCACGGCUAGAGUGUGUCAGAGGGGGGUAGAAUUCCACGUGUAGCAGUGAAAUGCGUAGAGAUGUGGAGGAAUACCGAUGGCGAAGGCAGCCCCCUGGGAUAACACUGACGCUCAUGCACGAAAGCGUGGGGAGCAAACAGG